UAUGUCUGUGAGCGUGCACACUGCUCAGUAACACGUAACUAACCUACCCUUAGGACGUGCACCACCCCGAGAAAUUGGGCCUCAUCCGCGAUAGAUUUAUUGUCCUGGAAUGGUAUUACNUCUAAAGGUAUCCCAUACAUGUUUGGUAUAUGCCUAAGGAUGGGGCUGCGGCCGAUCAGGCUGUUGGUGAGGUAAUCCCUCACCAAACCUUUGACCGGUCCGGGCCAUGAGAGUGGUAGCCCGCACAUCGACACUUGAGACCAGGGUCCAGGCCCUACGGGGCGCAAGCAUGCGGAAACCUCCUCAAAUGCACUUAACGUGCGAAGGGGCUACCUCGAGUGCCAUCUGAUGAAGGUGGCUUUUCCUAGGUCUAAAAAGCCUUGGGAAUAAGAGGGGGGCAAGACUGGUGUCAGCCGCCGCGGUAACACCAGCCCCUCGAGUGGUGGGGAUGAUUAUUGGGCCUAAAGCGUCCGUAGCCUGCCGUGUAAGUUUCCCGUUAAAUCCAGCGUCUCAAGCGUUGGACUGCGGGAAAUACUGUACGGCUAGAGAGUGGGAGAGGUUAGCGGUAUUCUGGGGGUAGGGGCGAAAUCCUUUGAUCCCCGGAGGACCACCAGUGGCGAAGGCUGCUGACUAGAACACGUCUGACGGUCAGGGACGAAAGCUGGGGUAGCGAACCGGAUUAGAUACCCGGGUAGUCCCAGCCGUAAACGAUGCAUGCUAGGUGUUGGGUUGGCCACGAGCCACCCCAGUGCCGCAGGGAAGCCGUUAAGCAUGCCGCCUGGGAAGUACGAUCGCAAGGUUGAAACUUAAAGGAAUUGGCGGGGGAGCACCACCAGGCGUGAAGCCUGCGGUUUAAUUGGAUUCAACGCCGG
rnacentral:rRNA from 1 species